GAAAGAGUGUUGUGUGCUUUUGCUGAGUUUAGGAUGGUGUCAAUUGUGCCUCAGGAGAAGAGUUUAGACAUUCUGUCCUGAUGAAUGUUCAUGUGGGCUGCUCCUCAUAACCCUGCUCAAACACUACUGAGGCAUCAGGAUCUUCAAGAUUCAUAUGAGGAAACUGAAGCGAAAGAAUGUUGACUAAUUUUGUCAAGGUCACACAACUGCUCUCUUUGGUGACUUCCUGAAGCUUGAAGUAUCUUCCUUGGGAGACGUAUUAUAGAAUUUGAAAUCCCACUGGCCAGAUCUCAGCAUGUAGUUUCAUCCCAACUCUACAGAAGUCUGGAAAAUACAGAGAGAACAUGCUCUUUCCCUAGGAAGAAGAGAUGAGAGCUCCAUCUCUCUGCUGGUGGAAGGAGAGGUUGUCUUUCCCUUCCCAUAGGGCAAGAAGAGCUGCCUCCACAUCCUCCUUCUGCUGUAGCUGAAGAGCCUGUUUAAAGGAACAUCCUGAUGGGGCUCAGCCUUUUGACCCCCAGAAAACAUGGCUUUGUCUGCCAUCCUGCAGCUCAUCAUGGGAGCCUGCAAAGUGGUUGGGGGCAGCACACACCAGCAUGCUGUGAAGAGAGGAAAGAGCUGCCGGGAUAACAACCCCGCAGCCACCAUAAUGACUCAGAUUAGAACACAAGGGAACACCAGCCAUUUUUUAGUCUGUCAGUUUUUCUAUUAUCCUCAAGACUGAGCAUGAAACAUUCAUUAUAACACGUCCUUAUUGAUUCAACUGAUGGAAAUAUAUUGGUAUUAAUAACACGAAACUCUAAGGCACUGAGGAUAAUAAAAUGAUUGCGAACAUAACGGGU
rnacentral:lncRNA from 1 species